rnacentral:rRNA from 1 species
CCUACGGGUGGCAGCAGUGAGGAAUAUUGGUCAAUGGACGAGCGCCUGAACCAGCCAAGUCGCGUGAAGGAUGACUGCCCUAUGGGUUGUAAACUUCUUUUAUCAAGGAAUAAAACGAGGCACGUGUGCCUUUUUGCAUGUACUUUAUGAACAAAGAACGGCCAACCCCGUGCCAGCAGCCGCGGUAAUACGGUGGAGCCGAGCGUUACUCGGAUUUAAUGGGUUUAAAGGGAGCGUAGGUGGGUUGUUAAGUCAGGUGUGAAAGUUUGGGGCUCAACCGUAGAAUUGCAGUUGAUACUGGCAGUCUUGAGUUGGGGAGAGGUAUGCGGAAUGCGUGGUGUAGCGGUGAAAUGCUUAGAUAUCACGAAGAACCCCGAUUGCGAAGGCAGCUUACU